rnacentral:ncRNA from 1 species
CUAAUCGAACCUUCUAGUAGCUGGGUUCCGCCGAAGUUUCCCUCAGGAUAGCAGUGUUGAUCUCAGUUUUAUGAGGUAAAGCGAAUGAUUAGGGACCCGGGGGUUUGAUAGUAUCUUGCUACUUGGAUAACCGUGGUAAUUCUAGAGCUAAUACAUGCUAAAAAUCCCGACUUCGGAAGGGAUGUAUUUAUUAGAUUAAAAACCAAUGCCCUCUGGGCUCUCUUGGUGAAUCAUGAUAACUUCUCGAAUCGCAGGGCCUUGCGCCGGCGAUGGUUCAUUCAAAUUUCUUCCCUAUCAACUUUCGAUGUUUGGGUAGUGGCCAAACAUGGUUGCAACGGGUAACGGAGGGUUAGGGCUCGACCCCAAUCCGCUAAGGACUGUGUAACAACUCACCUGCCGAAUGUACUAGCCCUGAAAAUGGAUGGCGCUCAAGCGUCUCACCCAUCCCUCGCCCUCAGGGUAGAAACGAAGCCCUGAGGAGUAGGCGGACGUGGGGGUCAGUGACGAAGCCUAGGGCGUGAGCCCUUGAUUUUGAUUUUCAGUGUGAAUACAAACCAUGAAAGUGUGGCCUAUAAACAGGACUUUUACUUUGAAAAAAUUAGAGUGCUCCAGGCAGGCCUAUGCUCGAAUACAUUAGCAUGGAAUAAUGAAAUAGGACGUGCGGUUCUAUUUUGUUGGUUUCUAGGACCGCCGUAAUGAUUAAUAGGGACAGUCGGGGGCAUCAGUAUUCAAUUGUCAGAGGUGAAAUUCUUGGAUUCCGGCGCCUGGAUGUGGGUUUUGCGCGGCAACGCAACUGAACGCGGAGACGACGGCGGGGGCCCCGAGCAGAGUUCUCUUUUCUUCUUAACGGUCUCUCCCCCUGAAAUCGGUUUGUCCGGAGCUAGGGUUUAACGGCCGGAAGAGCCCAGCACCUCUGCUGGGUUCGGUGCGCUCCCCUCGUCAUCUGACGUGCGGUUCUAUUUUGUUGGUUUCUAGGACCGCCGUAAUGAUUAAUAGGGACAGUCGGGGGCAUCAGUAUUCAAUUGUCAGAGGUGAAAUUCUUGGAUUUAUUGAAGACUAACUACUGCGAAAGCAUUUGCCAAGGAUGUUUUCAUUAAUCAGGAACGAAAGUUAGGGGAUCGAAGACGAUCAGAUACCGUCGUAGUCUUAACGGAUAAGGAUUGGCUCUA